rnacentral:rRNA from 1 species
UACGUAGGGUGCGAGCGUUAAUCGGAAUUACUGGGCGUAAAGCGUGCGCAGGCGGUUUUGUAAGACAGGCGUGAAAUCCCCGAGCUCAACUUGGGAAUUGCGCUUGUGACUGCAAGGCUAGAGUGUGUCAGAGGGGGGUAGAAUUCCACGUGUAGCAGUGAAAUGCGUAGAUAUCUGGAGGAAUACCGGUGGCGAAGGCGGCAUCCUGGACCGAGAUUGACACUGAGUGAGCGAAAGCCAGGGGAGCAAACGGG